rnacentral:rRNA from 1 species
CCUACGGGGGGCAGCAGUGGGGAAUAUUGGACAAUGGGGGGAACCCUGAUCCAGCCAUGCCGCGUGUGUGAAGAAGGCCCUCGGGUUGUAAAGCACUUUCAGUGAGGAAGAACGCCUGGUGGUUAAUACCCAUCAGGAAAGACAUCACUCACAGAAGAAGCACCGGCUAACUCCGUGCCAGCAGCCGCGGUAAUACGGAGGGUGCGAGCGUUAAUCGGAAUUACUGGGCGUAAAGCGCGCGUAGGUGGCUUGAUAAGCCGGUUGUGAAAGCCCCGGGCUCAACCUGGGAACGGCAUCCGGAACUGUCAAGCUAGAGUGCAGGAGAGGAAGGUAGAAUUCCCGGUGUAGCGGUGAAAUGCGUAGAGAUCGGGAGGAAUACCAGUGGCGAAGGCGGCCUUCUGGACUGACACUGACACUGAGGUGCGAAAGCGUGGGUAGCAAACAGGAUUAGAUACCCGGGUGUC